GCACUUUCAAACGAAUUUAACGAUAACGAAAACAAGCUGGACAUUGACAUUAUGUGUUCAUGUGUGCGUUUUUCUAAUUAGUGUACAGAUCUUAAUUAUCAUAAUACUGAAAAGAGCUAGUCUUAUCCACGUAGCGACUGGACUUCAAAAUAACCUAGGAAUUUCUUUUUCAGAUCAGUACUGGAAAGUCUAUUCAUUGGUCAAUCCUGUAUAUAUUACUAACAACAUUACUUUUAUAGAGGUUCUGGAAAAUGAUACUUUUCUGAUAUUGAUUCAUGUUGCCGCUCUUUCUGUGACGAAAUAUUUUGAAAGUCCGUCCAGUUAACGACCGUCAAAGUGGACUUAGUAACAGUAAUAGUCACCAUACUCGUUUAUCUAUUAGUCCAAGCGAUAUUUAGCAAAACAUUUUUCAAGUAUAUUGUAAAAAAAUUAAGAAUGGGAGCAUUUUUGGAUAAACCAAAGACAGAAAAGCAUAAUUCCGAGGAUUCCGGUAAUAAUAUACGCUACGGUAUAGGUUCUAUGCAAGGAUGGCGCGUAGAAAUGGAAGAUGCUCAUUCAGCGAAAAUUGGCCUUGACAAUCAUAAGGACUGGGCUUUCUUUGCUGUUUUUGAUGGUCAUGCCGGCACAGGAAUAUCCAUUCAUUCAUCUGCACAUUUGCUGAACUGCAUACAAGCGAACCAAGAUUUUACCCUGGGUAUUACUUCUUGCGAAAACGUAGUAAUACAAAAAGGCAUUCGUGAAGGAUUUUUAGAACUAGAUGAAGCUAUGAGAAGUUUACCUGACGUAGUACAAAAUUCAGAUAAGAGUGGUACAACGGCGAUAUCGUGUUUUGUAUCCCCUAAAUAUUAUUAUUUUGCUAAUUGCGGUGAUUCUAGAGGGGUAUUAAGUCGGAAUAAUUCAGUACUUUUUGCAACUGAAGAUCAUAAACCUACAAAUCCGAACGAAAGAGCAAGAAUUGAAAAUGCCGGUGGAUCUGUACUUAUUCAAAGAGUUAACGGAAGUUUAGCCGUGUCUAGGGCAUUGGGAGAUUACGAAUAUAAGUGCAAACCGGAAUUAGGACCUUGCGAACAAAUGGUAUCCCCUGAACCUGAUGUAACCGUGAUUGAACGAAAAAGUGAUGACGAAUUCAUGGUUUUAGCCUGCGAUGGUGUAUGGGAUGUGAUGACAAAUGAUGAAGUCUGCGAUUUUGUUCGUGAUCGCAUGGCUGCAUGUGAACAUUUAACCGAUGUGUGCAACCAAUUAUUGGACACAUGCUUGCAUAAGGGAAGCAGGGACAACAUGAGUGUAGUCAUCGUCGCUUUUGAGGGUGCCCCAAAAUUCUCCGAAGCUGCGAAGGAAAGAGACGAACAGCUAAACGAAAUCAUCAGAAAAAAAGUUACUGAAUUGUGUGCCGAUGAUGGUACAUUGAACGAAGCUGGACCGAGCCUUGUGAACCACGUCAUGAAUUGUCUCGACAGUGUAAGACUGGAAUUACCGCCGGGUGGAGGAUUGCAAAGCAAACGGCAUCUAGUUGAAGAACUCGUGCGUGAAUUAGUGCCUAAUAAUAACUCUGAUAGUGAGUCGUCACCACCAGUGCUAUCGCUGUUUCCUAAAGCUUCUUAAACAAAAUCAAAGUGAGUUUUCUAGAUGUUUUGUUGGAUGUUACUAACAAACGCGGCCUUGGACAGGUUACAACCUGUAUGGUUUAGGAAUCGGACUGAAUGAUUUUUCUAAGAGACGGGAGGUCAAAAAUUAGUGAUUAAAUGAAAUGUAUAAAUUGAUAUGUAAUAGCGAAUUUCGAAUUUCGUAUGUCAAUUAAUAAAUCAUAAUUUUGUAUUAUUUUCCUCGUUCCAGUGAAAUGUUACUAAGCCUGAUCAAAUCUUAAG
rnacentral:misc_RNA from 1 species